rnacentral:rRNA from 1 species
UACGGGGGGGGUAAGCGUUGUUCGGAAUUACUGGGCGUAAAGGGCUCGCAGGCGGCCAACUAAGUCAGACGUGAAAUCCCUCAGCUUAACUGGGGAACUGCGUCUGAUACUGGAUGGCUUGGAUUCGGGAGAGGAAUGCGGAAUUCCAGGUGUAGCGGUGAAAUGCGUAGAUAUCUGGAGGAACACCGGUGGCGAAGGCGGCAUUCUGGACCGACAUUGACGCUGAGGAGCGAAAGCCAGGGGAGCAAACGGG